UUCCGGUUGAUCCUGCCAGAGGCUACUGCUAUCGGGGUCCGACUAAGCCAUGCGAGUUGAGAGGGGUAAGCCCUCGGCAUAUUGCUCAGUAACACGCGGAUAACCUGCCCUUGGGUUUGGGAUAACCCCGGGAAACUGGGACUAAUACCGGAUAGAUCAAAGAAACUGGAAUGUUCUCUGAUCGAAAGCUCCGGCGCCCAAGGAUGGGUCUGCGGUCUAUCAGAUUGUAGUGGGUGUAAUGUACCUACUAGCCUACGACGGAUACGGGUUGUGGGAGCAAGAGCCCGGAGAUGGAUUCUGAGACAUGAAUCCAGGCCCUACGGGGCGCAGCAGGCGCGAAAACUUUACAAUGCGGGAAACCGCGAUAAGGGGACACCGAGUGCCAGCAUCCUAUGUUGGCUGUCCAUAUGUCUAAAUCACAUGUGUUAGCAAGGGCCGGGCAAGACCGGUGCCAGCCGCCGCGGUAACACCGGCGGCCCGAGUGGUGGCCACUAUUAUUGGGUCUAAAGGGUCCGUAGCCGGUUUGGUCAGUCUUCCGGGAAAUCUGACGGCUCAACCGUUAGGCUUUCGGGGGAUACUACCAGGCUUGGGACCGGGAGAGGUAAAAGGUACUACGGGGGUAGGAGUGAAAUCUUGUAAUCCCUGUGGGACCACCAGUGGCGAAGGCGUCUUACCAGAACGGGUCCGACGGUGAGGGACGAAAGCUGGGGGCACGAACCGGAUUAGAUACCCGGGUAGUCCCAGCUGUAAACUAUGCUCGCUAGGUGUCAGGGACGGUGCGACCGUGUCUGGUGCCGCAGGGAAGCCGUGAAGCGAGCCACCUGGGAAGUACGGCCGCAAGGCUGAAACUUAAAGGAAUUGGCGGGGGAGCACAACAACGGGUGGAGCCUGCGGUUUAAUUGGAGUCAACGCCGGG
rnacentral:rRNA from 1 species